rnacentral:rRNA from 1 species
CCUACGGGAGGCAGCAGUGGGGGAUAUUGCACAAUGGGGGAAACCCUGAUGCAGCGACGCCGCGUGGGUGAAGAAGUAUUUCGGUAUGUAAAGCCCUAUCAGCAGGGGAGAAAGAAGACGGUACCUGACUAAGAAGCACCGACUAACUACGUGCCAGCAGCCGCGGUAAUACGUAGGGGCCGAGCGUUAUCCGGAUUCACUGGGUUUAAAGGGAGCGUAGACGGCCGUGCAAGCCAGGAGUGAAAGCGCGGGGCCCAACCCCGGGACUGCUCUUGGAACUGGGCGGCUGGAGUGCGGGAGGGGCAGGCGGAAUUCCUGGUGUAGCGGUGAAAUGCGUAGAUAUCAGGAGGAACACCGGCGGCGAAGGCGGCCUGCUGGACCGCGACUGACGUUGAGGCUCGAAAGCGUGGGGAGCGAACAGGAUUAGAUACCCCUGUAGUC